GUGCCUGUCCUGUCCUGUGCUUGACAUUGGAUGGGAAGGGAAGGAAGACACGGUAAUGCCUCUUAUUCUUACCUUGUUUAGAACAAAAGAAAGAAAAGUCCUGGCUCAGUGGUUCCAGGCAUCGGUGGCACACAGCCUGUCAGAUCUGGACUGCUUAGUCUGGUGAGUGAGUUCAUGAUGUUUGACAUGCUAUGAAGUUGCAGGGGAAAUCUGCUUGAAGUAUCUCAGUGUUCAACAACUGGGUCACCAGGCUUUAUGGAAGAUGGUGUGCGCAGGGGGCGAUGUGCAUUGGCCCCAUGGCACUACCUCUCGCAGCUGUCAGAACUACUGCAGGCUAGUCAGUGGUGACACGACUCUUUAAAAGUCACAGUAUCAUCUCUUACUUCAGAAAAUAAGGCCUUGGAAAAAUAUUUGCUCUGGAUGCGUUUCUCACUCCCCACAACCAACCCCCCAUUUACAAACCACAGAAAGACGCUACCUCUGACUCAGAAAUUGGGGCUACCAUUAAAAUGCAAGUUUUAAUUUCAGAGACAUGUGAGGAUUUCCAUGGUUGGCAUUGGGAGGUGUGUGUGUGUGUGUGUGUGUGUGUGUGUGUGUGUGUGUGUGUGUUAGGGUUUCUAUUGCUGUGAUAAAACACCAUAACCAAAGUCAACUUGGGAAAGAAUAGAUUUAUUUCAGCUUAUAGUUCUGCCUCACAGUCUAUCAUCAAAGAAGUCAGGGCAGGAACUUAAGCAGGGCAGAAACCUGGACACAGGAACUUAAGCAGAAGCCAUAGAGGUAUGCUGCUUACUGGCUUGCUCAUCAUGGCUUGCUCAGCCUGCCUUCUUAUAGAACCGAGGACCCCCAGCCAUAGCUUGGCACAGCCUAUAGAGAGCUGGGCCCUCUCGAAUCAAUCACUAAUCAAGAAAAUGCCCUACAGGUUUGCCUACAAUCCAUCCAAUGGAGGCAGUUUCUUGGUUAAGAUUCCUUCUUCCCAGAUGAUCCUCAUUUGUGUCAAGUUGACAUAAAAACUAUCCAGUGUGCUCUCUCUCUCUCUCUCUCUCUCUCUCUCUCUCUCUCUCUCUCUCUCUCUCUCUCUGUGUGUGUGUAGUCAGAGUCUUAAUGUUACUCUUUUAAUGACAGUUUAUGAUUAACUUUUCCCACUAAUAACCCCCAAACUUUAUUGGGUUAACGGAACAAUUACUCAUUCAGCUCACAAACUUCUGAGUUGACAUUGUGCGCUGGACUCAGAUGGGUGGCUUUUCAUUGUCAAUGGUUUGCUCUAUGUCAGAUGGGCGUGGCUUGGGGUUAGCUGGUUCAGAUUGGCCUCUGCUGCAAUGGCUGCCCUCCAAGCUCCAGUUUGGCCCAGGCUCAUGUACAUGUUUGCCUAGCACAGUUCUGAGAAGAACUGCAGUGUGCAAGGCGUGAGUGUGCAAGAACAAGGCCACAUUUACUGCGUUCCACAGUUCGAGUAAAUUCGUGUUAGUCUAAUCCAAAACGAUGGAAAAUUAGGCUCCACCCUCCAGUAAGAAGAGCUCCAAAGUCACCAUUAAAGGAGUGUAGCUACAAGGCAAAAUAGAACAUAUUUGAUAAGAAAUGCCCAGAGAUUGGCAUCAGCUCACCUUUUCACUUCUAUCUAUGGGUCUGCUUUUCUUUUCUUUUUCAUUUUAUUAAUAUCUUUCAUUCUUGAUAUUUGGUAUACUCAGUACUAUACGACUUAGGGGCAUUGACAUGCAAGCGUAUAUUAAACAUUGAGCCCAUGGCAGCCUAGCUUCCCACACUGCCUUUCACAGCCCAAUCCUCCUUGUUAGUCAGUCCCUUUUGCUUCUAUAGGCAGUUUUGUGUCUACUUUCGUGUUACAUGCACGUACAUCAUAUCAUUUUCUUC
rnacentral:lncRNA from 1 species